GACCAUAGCUCAGCAGCAGAGCACCUGCCUUGCAGGCAGAAGGUCCCAGGUUCAAUCCCAGAGGACCCAAAGUCA